UUUUCUGAGGACAUGAUUUUCCUAUAUAUGAAUUUUAUAUUAGCCAGCCAUAACAAGGUUGUUUAAACCUUAACUAUGUCUCCAAACUAUAACUCAAUUUCAUUUCUAGCAUUACGUGCAAAAAUCAUAAAAAAAAACCGAACGAAAAAAUUUAUCACAUCCAUCAAGUUUAUGGUAAUCAGUUCUAAAGCCCAAAGAAAAAGCAAAGAAAACAUUCAUCUAUAAUAUGCAUCAUAUGUGAAAAAUGGAGCUUUCCCAGCCAGCCAGCUAGUUUUAGUCAAAACAUCCAGAUUGAUCCAUAAAUGGAAAAUCACCGCUGACAUACUGUUAGUUAGAGAUCCUUUGCCGACUACGAUGACGACGACGACAGAGACAACGUUGUCCUUGUCAACAAGGUAUCAGUUAAGAAUAUUUUCUUGGCUUUUUCUAUAUCUAACAAGACCCUGGGAAGCUAGUUGUCUGGCAUUGGGCAACGAUAAUCUGCAAUUUUGACAGGAAUUUACGAUCCUGUUUGCUUGUCAAUGUGUGGAAUAUGGGUGGCACUGAUGGAGUGACUCUAAGGAUUCAUAAAAAUGGAAUUUCCAAGGAACUUCUAUAUAAAUGAUAAAAGUUUAUGUUGGAUAUUUGUGUAUGUGUAUGUUCAAGGAGGAUACACAUCUUUGUGUAUCUUAAGGAUAUUUUUUUUUUUUUCUUUGAUUGUGUGGUGAUGAAUUUUUUAAGGUGAACAUUCAGAGAAAUCGAAUAGCUUUCGAUUGUGAUUGAAAUUCUGUUUAUGGGUUCAUUAAAUAAAUUUUU